GAGGAUAUAGCUCAGGGGUAGAGCAUGAGCUUAGCAUGCACGAGGUCCUGGGUUCAAUCCCCAGUACCUCCA
rfam:Camelus ferus unplaced genomic scaffold scaffold1085, whole genome shotgun sequence.